AACAAUGUGUGUCGAUUAUAGCAAACAACUAACAAUUCUUUGCGCAAAUUGUCCUACAUCACCUUGUUCAUAAAUGAUAUGGAUAUGUCCCAGGUUUAUUUCACGCAGACCUUUAUUACGUGAUUUUUAAAAGUUGUAUAAUUCUAUUUAAAUUAACUUUUGCAUUUAAACCUAAGAUGGCGUUUGGUACGAGGUUAGCAAGGAGUAAAUUUUACCUUGUAGCUUUUAACCUUUCAUCAACGUUGUUUGUGUACUUAAAGAGCCUAGGUUAACCUUUCACCUUAUUAAUAAUUACGUCUUUUGGAGGGAUUAAAUGUUAACCUUGGGGAUUAGGUUAAUAAUUACCCUCUUUA
rnacentral:misc_RNA from 1 species